GGCGGCAUGGCGAAGCAGUAACGCAUCGAUCUGCAAAAUCGACAUACGUGGGUGCAAUUCCCACUGCCGCCU
rnacentral:tRNA from 1 species